rnacentral:rRNA from 1 species
UCCGUAGGGUGAACCUGCGGAGGGAUCAUUACCGAGUGAGGGUUUCGGCCCGACCUCCAACCCUUUGUGAAUCAAACCUGUUGCUUCGGGGGCGACCCUGCCGUUCGCGGCGCGGCGCCCCCGGGGGAAAUCAAACACUGCGUCAAUUUGUGUCGGAGUACUUGUUAAUAAACAAAACUUUCAACAACGGAUCUCUUGGUUCUGGCAUCGAUGAAGAACGCAGCGAAAUGCGAUAAGUAAUGUGAAUUGCAGAAUUCAGUGAAUCAUCGAAUCUUUGAACGCACAUUGCGCCCCGUGGUAUUCCGCGGGGCAUGCCUGUUCGAGCGUCAUUUCACCACUCGAGUCUGACUCGGUAUUGGGCGUCGCGUUUCGAUGCGCGCCUUAAAGUUUCCGGCUGGACCGUCCGUCUCCGAGCGUUGUGGCAUCUGUCUCGCUAGGGAGCCGCGGAGGGCGUUGGCCGUUAAACACCCCAUCAAAGGUUGACCUCGGAUCAGGUAGGGAUACCCGCUGAACUUAAGCAUAUCAAUAAGCGGAGGA